rnacentral:rRNA from 1 species
GACGAACGCUGGCGGCGUGCUUAACACAUGCAAGUCGAAGAUAGUGGAGAACGGAUGAGUAUUACGUGGGUAACCUGCCCUCCUUUUUGGGAUAAGCCAUGGAAACGGGGUCUAAUCAUGACAAUCGGUGGAUGGGCUCGCGGCCUAUCAGCGUGUUGUUGGGGUGUUAGCCUACCACGGCGGUGACGGGUAGCCGGCCUGAGAGGGGGAACGGCGACAGUGGGACUGAGAUAAGGCCCAGAGUAGUACGGAGGGCAGAAGUGGGGGAUAUUGCAGAAUGGGUGAAAGCGUAAUGCAGCGACGGCGCGUGAGGGAUGAAGGCUUUCGGAUUGUAAACCUCGUUAGCUAUAGAACGGGUAGGUAGAGAAAAAGCGCCGGCUAACUACGUGCCAGCAGCCGCGGUAAUAC